GAUGAAGAACGCAGCGAAAUGCGAUAAGUAAUGUGAAAUGCAGAAUUCAGUGAAUCAUCGAAUCUUUGAACGCACAUUGCGCCCGCCAGUAUUCUGGCGGGCAUGCCUGUUCGAGCGUCAUUUCAACCAUCAAGCCCCCGGCUUGUGUUGGGGACCUGCGGCUGCCGCAGGCCCUGAAAAGCAGUGGCGGGCUCGCUGUCACACCGAGCGUAGUAGCAUACAUCUCGCUCUGGGCGUGCUGCGGGUUCCGGCCGUUAAACCACCUUCAUAACCCAAGGUUGACCUCGGAUCAGGUAGGAAGACCCGCUGAACUUAAGCAUAUCAAUAAGCGGAGGA
rnacentral:misc_RNA from 1 species